rnacentral:rRNA from 1 species
GCGCACCAGGCGAGAAUCCUCCGCAAUGCGGGAAACCGUGACGGGGUCACCCCGAGUGCCACCCGAUGAGGGUGGCUUUUCCCCGGUCUAAAAAGCCGGGGGCAAUAAGCGGGGGGCAAGUCUGGUGUCAGCCGCCGCGGUAAUACCAGCCCCGCGAGUGGUCGGGACGUUUAUUGGGCCUAAAAGCGUCCGUAGCCGGCUCGGUAAGUCCCCUCCUUAAAUCCACGGGCUCAACCCGUGGGCUGGGAGGGAUACUGCCGGGCUAGGGGGCGGGAGAGGCCGAGGGUACUCCCGGGGUAGGGGCGAAAUCCGUUAAUCCCGGGAGGACCACCAGUGGCGAAGGCGCUCGGGCUGAAACGCGCCCGACGGUGAGGGACGAAAGCUGGGGGAGCAAAGGGGAUUAGAUACCCGGCGUAGU